CUGAGCCCUUAGAACUUAAGAAGUUAGAAGUGAUAGUGAAGAAUCUCAUUUCCAGCUUCCAUUAUCUUCUCAUCUCAAUCAGGGGGGAAAAUGAGCGGGCGGUCAAGCCGCACAAUUUAUGUUGGCAAUCUUCCUGGCGACGUUCGCUUGAGAGAAGUAGAGGAUCUAUUCUACAAGUAUGGUCCUAUUGUUGACAUUGAUUUGAAGAUACCUCCGAGACCACCAGGCUAUGCUUUUGUAGAGUUUGAGGAUGCUCGUGAUGCUGAAGAUGCAAUUCAAUAUCGAGAUGGUUACAAUUUUGAUGGUUUUCGGUUACGAGUUGAACUUGCACAUGGUGGACGGGGAUAUUCAUCAUCAGUAGACCGUUACAGUAGCUAUAGCGGUGGCAGUGGUAGCCGUGGAGUUUCCAGGCGUUCUGACUACCGUGUUCUGGUCACUGGAUUACCUCCGUCUGCUUCAUGGCAAGACCUGAAAGAUCACAUGCGUAAAGCUGGUGAUGUGUGUUUUUCGCAAGUCUUCCGUGAGCGUGGGGGUAUGACUGGGAUAGUUGAUUAUACCAAUUAUGAUGAUAUGAAAUAUGCUAUCAGGAAACUUGAUGACUCAGAAUUCCGCAAUGCCUUUUCUCGUGCUUUCAUACGGGUGAGGGAAUAUGAUCGAGGUUAUUCUAGAAGUCCUAGUCGUGAUUCAAGGAGGAGCUAUUCUAGAAGCCUCAGCCGCAGUCCAUGUAUCUCACGAAGCCGCAGCCAUAGCCGCAGCAGAAGUCAUAGCUAUAGUGACAGGAGCAGAAGUUGGUCUCCGAAACCAAAACACUCUCGACGUUCAAUAUCUCUUUCAAGAAAGGUGGAGGGGACAAUGUUGAAGUGGAUCGCAGCUUGGCCACUAAAUAUACAAUGUUCAUUAGGGUUGACUCUUGUUUUUUAGAUGUGGCCUUUUGCGGCGACCUGGGAACUGCAUGUUAGGAUCUUGAUGGCAUGUGGUGCUCAAACGCCAACUUUUGGUUUGAGGCAUGGUCUGCGAUUGUUGUAGACUGGAUGAGUUGCAAUCUAAAAGCUGGAUCACCGUCUAAAUGCCAUUGGUUAGCAACCAUUGCAAAUCAGCAGUGUUACAAUUCAAAAAACUACAACAUAACCUGUGCUGAGUUCUGGUUGAUCUAUUCCUUCUCUUUAGGAAUUCUUAUUGUCCUAUAUUGGGUUAGAUAUAUCUUCCCUAUAAUUGGAUCAAGAUAUCAUGUGCUGUUGACAAUAGAAUUUUUAACACUUGUUGAGACUAUAGACGUGUGAUACUGGGUUCAAUUGCUUUUCCACUUGGAUGCUGCUCAAGAUUUGUGGUGGAUUAGUUUCUUCGUUUUGGUUAUGGUAACUUUGAUGUGGAAUAUUGGAUCGUGGAUCAUUGUGGAUAUUGAAUUGAGUUUUGUUAAUUAAUAAAUUUUGCAGAUCCCAGUCAAGAUCCAGAUCUCCAAAUUCAUCACCUCGACCUCACCAAAGUCCAAGUAGCUCAUCAUAAUCUUGUUUGGGGCGAGGGAGAUCUGAACGCAGCUGACCUGUUGACUCUGGAGACCACUACUGGGCAUGUAAUGUAUUUUGUGUGCUGCAUUUUAAUUUGAUAACUACACAGUAGCACGUUUAAGACCCAAUAUAGCUCUGUCGCCACAUUAGCAUGUAAGGUAUUUGAAUUUUAAAUUUGAUAAUUGAAGCCAUGAAACAAACCUUUUAGGCAUUUAAGUUUGAAGUGGAUGAUUUGAGCUAGAACUGAAAUGUAUCUGUAUUAUCAACUGUGGCCGAGAUACAUUCUAACUUGGCCAGCGUGUUUAGUAGUUUAACCCUGUGAUAUUGGAUAUCCUAGUUACCGUGUUUUGGUGGGACU